rnacentral:rRNA from 1 species
AGUGAACGCUGGCGGCGUGCCUAAUACAUGCAAGUCGAACGGAGUGGCGCACGGGUGAGUAAUAUAUAGCUAAUCUGCCCCUUUCUGGAGGACAACAUUUUGAAAUGACUGCUAAUACUCCAUAGCAAGGGAUGAGACUAUAUCGGAUCAGCUAGUCGGUGGGGUAACGGCCGACUGAGGCUAUGACGCGUAACUGGGCUGAGAGGAUGAUCAGUAAAAUCGGAACUGAGACACGGUCCAAAAACAUACGGGAGGCAGCAGUAGGGUAUAGCGCGCAAUGGGGGAAACCCAGACGGAGCAACGCGGCGUGGAGGAUGACACGCGUCGGAGCGGAAACUCAUUUUGUUAGGGAAGCGGUACCUAACGAAGAAGCACCGGCUAACUCCGUGCCAGCAGCCGCGGUAAUUC